rnacentral:rRNA from 1 species
UACAGAGGUCUCAAGCGUUGUUCGGAUUCAUUGGGCGUAAAGGGUGCGUAGGCGGCGCGGUAAGUCGGGUGUGAAAUUCCUGGGCUUAACCUGGGGGCUGCGCUUGAGACUGUGGUGCUAGAGGACGGAAGAGGCUCGUGGAAUUCCCAGUGUAGAGGUGAAAUUCGUAGAUAUUGGGAAGAACACCGGUGGCGAAGGCGGCGAGCUGGUCCGUUACUGACGCUGAGGCGCGACAGCGUGGGGAGCAAACAGG